UGCUCGUGCUUUCUCUCUCUCUCAAAACAAAUUUAAAAAAAAAAAAUUUUUUUAAGUGUCACCAUUUCAGAUCACUCCAACUUUUCAUCUGAAAACAAAUGUUGAGACCCCUUAACGGCACUCAACACAUUCUGGCUUUUUUUUUUUUUAAGUUCAUUUAUUUAUGUCAUCUUUACACCCAAAGUGGCGCUCAAACUCACGACCCCAAGAUCAAGAGUCACAUACUCUUCUGACUGAGCCAGCCACGCUCCCACUUUUUAUUAUUUAAUUUUUUUUAAUGUUUAUUUUUGAGACAGACAGAGUGUGAGUGGGGGAGGGGCAGAGAGAGAAGGAGACACAGAAUCUGAAGCAGGCUCCAGGCUCUGAGCUGUCAGCACAGAGCCCAAUGUCAGACCUGAGCUGAAGUCGGACACUCAACCGACUGAGCCCCCCAGGCAUCCCCCCACUUUUUAAUAUAAAAAUUCUCUAACAAAUUCUUUUUGAGUCUUUUACUACCCCUUUACAGGUGCUAUAAUUUUUCUUUCUUCUAAUUAGGGAGGAGCCCUAAAUUGCAGGAGGUGGGGGGUGGGGGGGUGGGGAGGGUGUUUCUAGAAGCGAAGACCCACAGGGGCUGCAGGAAGGGUUGGUUCCAGCAAAACCAACCCUACCUACCACCUUCCACCCAGUUGUCAGUUGGCCUGCCUGGGGGCUAAUGACUCAACCUGUUCUCUCCCCAGCAGUUUCUCAUUCCCAAGAAUGCAAAGUCAUUUUAAGCUAGAGCAGGAAGAGAAACAGGAGUCCCAGCGCUGACAUUUCCCUCCUUUGGAGCCACCGGGGGAGAGAGAAGCCUGCCCAAGAAUGUCUGAUUUUUGUAGCACCUAUCCUCAAGGCACCACACACCCUUAAAAUAACUGCACAAGUGUGUGUCCUGGGCCUACAUCUGGGAUGGUGACACUCUCAAAGGCUGCGUUCCAGCAUACAUUACAUUACACAUCUCCAUCCGCCCAGACCCUGCUGCUAACACUCGCUUGCAUUUGAAAUCUCCCUUCCGGCCAGACGGCUGGAUUCCAAGAGCAUGAGAAGGGUUCUUUGAGCCCUUGUGGUUGGGGGGGGGGGGGGGGGUGACUGCUCUGCUGCCCGGCCUCCCACCACAGAAGCGCAGAGCUCCCCAUAUGACUGCCGUCAAACAUUUGCUGGGCUGGCCUAGUCACAGAGGGGACCCCAAACCACCAGUCCCCGCCUAGAGAUGUUGGUGGCCACAAGGCCCCUGAAUACAGCAAACAUCUGGGGAAUGGCAGGGGGCACAGGAAGGUUACUUAAGAUUGCUGUUGGAGCUGAGCCCUGAGGGUGACCAGGAAGGAGGCUGCCUGGGCGUGCCAAGCACCAGACACAGCCACGGCAAAGCCAGGCCUUCUGGACACUGGGGUUCCCUGGGUCCCUCUGCCAUAGGCACCAGGGUUACAGUCCCAUCAAAGGAAAGGUGAGGUUACCCCCGCCCCGAUCUCAGAAAACUUAAACCACGAAGCGCCUUAUUCAAAAUUUCCCCAACCCCUCAGCUAUUUACAGGAUGGCAGUGGUGUCCAGGUCCAAGAAGUCAGUCAAGUCACAGCCUUAUCCUUCGGUCUGUGAUGAAGGACAGGGAGUCAGAGCCUGACUCUGACCUUGCUUGACCCAAGUCCCUCCUACAGACCAGCCCCCAGCCAGGGGGAAGAGAAAGGCAGCGUGUAGGAACACGGUAUUCACUUCCUAUUGCUGUUGUGACAAACCACCACAAAUGCAGUGGCUGAGCACAACACAAACUUCUCUUCGGUUCUGGAGGUCAGGAACCGGUCAGCAGGGCUGCGUUUUCCUUCUGGAGGCUCUCCAGAGACACCAUGCCUUUACCGUUCCCGGUUUCUGAGGCCACCUGUAUCCCUCAGCUUGUGGCCACAUUGCUUUGACCUCUGCUUCGUUGUCUCAUCUCCUUCCGCCCCUCCUGUCUCCCUCUUACAAGGACUGGUGCGGUUACACUGGGCCCACUCAGGUGAUCCAGGAUGCUCUCCGACCUCAAGAUCCUUGACCUUAGUCACAUCCGCAAAGCUCCUCUGCAUGUCAGGGACCAUAUUCACAAGUUCUGAGGACACCUGUUGGGGGGACUUUAUUCUGUCUAGCCCAACACAAGACUCUUGCAGUUCUCGGCCAUCCCACGAAUCUCGGACACUCCCUUGAAGUGUUCAGAGGCAGGCCAGGUGCAGAUCAGGAUUCAUCCAGAGUUUCGUUAGGAGCUUCAACAGUCACCAAGGUGGAUAUGGGAACUCAGCCCCCACGUGCCCACAGGAUUCUAAAGAGACAAUGGGCAGGGUGCCUGGACACUUCAGUUAAGCAUCCAAAUCUUGAUUUUGGCCCAGGUCAUGAUCUCGAGGUUUGUGAGUUCAAGCCCCAUGUCAGGCUCUGCACUGUCAGUGCAGAGCCUGCUAAGGAUUCUCUCUCUCUCUCUCUCCCUCCCUCCCUCCCUCCCUCCCCUGCUCCUGCUCUCUCGCUCUCUCUCAUCUGUCUCAAAGUAAAUACAUAAACUUUAAAAAAAUAAAAUAAAGAAAUAAGAAACACAUAAAGAGACACUGAGCAAAACCAAACACCGACACAGGGAUCCCUGAUGGGGAGAAGCGCCCUGGGCCUGGGUGAUAGAGACCUAAGGCCCCAGACCCGGAAACCUUGGCCCUAAGUUGCGGGGAGGGGUAAUAUUCCUGACCCCUGGGCCCACCGGAAAGCCCAUGAGAGAUGCCCAGACCAGACAGGCCUUCCCACUGCUCACUUCAAGGCCACCUGGCUUCACUGAAGGCCAAGUCCCUCAGACCCUGCCAAGUGACUCUGAGCAGUGACAGACACCUCCCAAAGAGAGGUGUUUGGAACCUGAGCCCAGCACGAGGCAUGCCAAAGCCAACAGGGGCCUGCUGGGUCCCCCACUGACAGGCCCAGGGGUGCUAGGCCCUGGCCUCAGCCGCCUUCCCAGACACAAUCAACUCUAGAAACAGGCAAUGGCUUCAUCUGGCGCUCCUGGAGCCCUCAAAUUUAGGGGAGGUUCCGAAGCCCUGGCACAACCCGAACAAAUGAUUGGCAAAGGCAGUUAAUUCCUGAGUCCCCUCACUCCCCAUUCAGGCCUGGUCUCCCCGAGCCCGGGAGAGGGGACAAGGGAGAAGACAGGGGCCAGAAAGGGCACUCACUUCACAGGUUCCAUUAAGGGGUAUGACGGUCCUAUUUUUUUUCAAGUGAGGGAAUUCAGAGAGGUCAAGAAACUCACCCAAAUGUUAUGCUAAAUGGAAGAAGCUGGACAGAGAAAGACACAGACUGCAUGGUGUUACUUACAUGUGAAAUCUAAAAAAAAAAAAAAAAAAAAAAAAAAUGCAGCUCAUAGGAACAGAGACCAGAAAAGAAAUGGGGGGAGGCUGGUGAAAGGGACAAGCUUUCCGUUCCAAGAUGAAUAAGAUCUGAGGAUCCAGUAUAGGACAGGGUGACUACUGAAGUUUACCGAGAGUGGGACUUAACUGUCCUCACCAGCUCCAACAGAAACAAAUACGUGAGGCAAUGGAUGUGCUAAUUAACUCAGUUGUGACAAUCAUCUUGCAAUUUAUGCAUACAACAAAUCACAUCGUACACUUUUUUUUUUACUGUUUUAUUUACUUUUGAGAUGGAGAGAGACAGAGCACAAGUGGAGGAGGGGCAGAGGGAGAGAGGGAGACACAGAAUCCGAAGCAGGCUCCAGGCUCUGAGCUGUCAGCACAGAGCCCAACACGGGGCUCAAACACCAUGAAGUGUGAGAUCAUGACCCGAGCUGAAGUCGGGCGCGUAACCAACUGAGCCACCAAGGCGCCCUCCACAUCGUACACUUUAAAUACGUUACAGUUUUAUUUUUCAGUUAUACCUCAAUAAAGCUGGAAAGAAUAUACACGUAUUUAAAAAAAUAAAAAGAAACUCGUCCAAAAGCUCAAAGCAAGUAAGUCACAGCAGAACCACAAUCUAAAGCUGCGUCUGUCAGCAAAGACCAUCCUCACUCCGUGGCCUGGGAGGGCAGGGGUCCAGCCAGGUCUUGGGGGUGAGGCUUCUGGGGUUUCUGGAGGCGCAACAGUUCUGGACACAGCUGUCCCCCACCCCCCACGCCGCCAACUGCCCCAACCCUGGGCUGAAACCCCUCCUCCACACUUGACCCUGGGGAGGUUGGGGGAGCCCUGUGGGUGAAGAGCCAGAAGGCACUUCCAGGGGCUGUGACGGGUCUCAGAUGUCUCAGGUGUGCCGAGACCACGUGGGGUGGGGACUGGACACGCCACAGGACACCUGUCUCUCCCUUCUCCACAAGGCUGGCUGAGUACGGUGUCACUUGGAAUCCACGCGCUCCAAGCAGAAGGACCACGGAAGCAGAGCUCAGCUCUGUCGCAGGAAGGGUUGCGGCUCCCCAAGGAAGGCAGAUGGUCACUGGCCCGACUGCAGGGGCUGAACGCCCGCCAUCAGGGUGGGGACCCUGGUACACAGGGAAGGUGGCGGGGCCGAUGUCUUAGGAAGGUUCUGAAUCCACCAUCGAGAGAGAGAGCAGCUGGCCAGGUCACUGGACUCAAGGAGACCACAAAGGCACCCAAAAGCACAGGCCGGUCAGGCCUCGGGGGACCCAGUGCCUGCUCCCGGUGACAGGCACACCCCCCCCACCUCCUUCACGUUCGGGCUCCCACCCUGCCGGGCUCUGCAGCUGCAAGCCAUGGCAACGGGCCCCAAACGUCUCGACAAAUCCCUCAGAGAGCCCCACGCAGGGUGUCACAGCCGCAACCUAAAGCCAAGAGCCUGGGCCCCGCGCAGAAGUGAAAAACGCCAAAAAGAGAAGGCCCUGAUUCCUCAGAAGGGAGAAGCCUGAGUCUGGGCAAAGGGCAGCCUCCCUACCCCGGAGGCCACCAGCCUGCUGUCUCCACAAGCCCCACUCCCCCAGCCUGUGACGUCUACACUGAAGACAUGACUCAUCACCUCACCACACCCCCAAAUUGGCUGCGGCUUCCCCCAACCCCCACUGGCACCAAGGCCUCUGUGACAGGUGCCUCCCUCCUGGUCCAGGGAACCUCACCCCUGCUGGCAGCUCUGUCCCCAGCAUACCUGGCUCCAUGCCCUCCCCCACAGGCCACUGCUCUCACACUUCCGACUCCCUGCCCACGCGGGCAGCCCCCCAUCUGGAACACCCCCGCUCCCCGUGCCACCCUCGCCCGCAACAGAACCCAGGGGGCAGCCCAAGGGGAAGGCCCAUAAGGAGCCCAGGGAGUCAGAGCACAACCAGAACCAGACUCCUUACCAAAGGACAGCCCUAACAAGAUGGAAGGAUCCAGCCCCAAAAUGCAAACAGUGCCCAAGCUGAGGAGCCCUGAGCUACAUUCGUCUGUGAACACGCACACAGAUCUGCCAAGACCUGCAGUUGGUUCAAAAAACCAGAACUUUCAACUCAAUAAAUAUGUAUGUGUGUACGUACGUACGCAUUUAUGUAAA